AAUCGGAACGUGUAAAGUGGAGCUCAGCCACCAAUCACUUAAAAAAUACUCCCAGGUAAUUCUAAUGUGAGGAUGGGGUUGAUGACCACAGAUCUGGACCCUGCAGAUCCUUAUAGAAGUUUGGGUUUUAUUGAGGAGUUUGGGCUUGAAUCAAAGAGUAAUAAAAAAAAUUUAAUAAAAGCUAGUAUCCAGUUCCGCGCUCGAGUCACUGCGCGCCGGCGGGCUGCAGAAGCUGGUAUGUCGACUGUCCUGCAGAGCAUCGAGCAGCUGUCCAGUCGGGUGGUGCACAUCCUGGGCUGUAACCCAGGACCCAUGACCCUGCAGGGCACCAACACCUACUUGGUAGGGAUCGGCACCAGGAGAAUCCUCAUUGACACUGGAGAACCAGCAAUUCCAGAAUAUAUCAGCUGUUUAAAGCAGGCUCUGACUGAAUUUAACGCAACAAUCCAGGAAAUCAUAGUGACUCAUUGGCACCGUGAUCAUACUGGGGGCAUAGGAGAUAUUUGUAAAAACAUCAAUAAUGACACUGCAUAUUGCAUUAAAAAACUCCCACGGAAUCCUCCGAGAGAAGAAAUUAUAGGAGAUGGAAAGCAACAGUAUGUUUAUCUGGAAGAUGGAGAUGUGAUUAAAACUGAAGCUGCCACUCUCAGAGUUAUACACACACCUGGCCACACUGAUGAUCAUAUGGCUCUACUUUUAGAAGAGGAAAAUGCAGUCUUUUCUGGAGAUUGCAUCCUAGGGGAAGGAACAACUAUAUUUGAAGACCUCUAUGAUUAUAUGAACUCCCUAAAAGAGCUAUUGAAACUCAAAGCUGAUAUUAUAUAUCCAGGACAUGGCCCAGUAAUUCAUAAUGCUAAAGCUAAAAUUCUAGAAUACAUUGCUCACAGAAAUAUCCGAGAACAGCAAAUUCUUACAUUGUUUCGUGAUAAUUUUGAAAAAUCAUUUACAGCAAUGGAGCUUGUAAAAAACAUUUACAAGAAUACUCCUGAGCAUUUAUAUAAAAUGGCUGAACAUAAUGUCUUGCUGCAUUUGAAAAAAUUUAAAAAAGAAGGAAAAAUAUUUAGCAACACGGAUCCUGAGAAGAAAUGGAAAGCUAAUCUUUAGUUUCAGAUUAAUGAAAGCUUUUGUUGGUUUGUUUUAUUUUUAGAGAAUGGUAUGUUUUCUUAACUAUAAUUAUUUAUAGGGAAUAUAGAGUAUAGAACAUUGAAAAUAAUCCUAAAUAUACUUUAAAAUAAUGUCUUAUUCCUUCUAAAAUAUAUAUUACAUUUUACAUGUAUAAUAUAGCUUGCUUAUCUAAUCUGAGUGCUAUAACAUUUUACCAAAAAUUCAGAAUCCAACAGUUUAUCCAUGUUC